rnacentral:rRNA from 1 species
AGGAUGAACGCUGGCGGCGUGCCUAAUACAUGCAAGUCGAGCGGUAAGGCCCCUUCGGGGGUACACGAGCGGCGGACGGCUGAGUAACGCGUAGGAACGUACCCCAAAGUGAGGGAUAAGCACCAGAAAUGGUGUCUAAUACCGCAUGUGGUCUAAGGAUUAAAGCUUCGGCGCUUUGGGAACGGCCUGCGUAUGAUUAGUUUGUUGGUGAGGUAAUGGCUCACCAAGACUACGAUCAUUAGCUGGUCUGAGAGGAUGAUCAGCCAGACUGGGACUGAGAACGGCCCAGACUCCUACGGGAGGCAGCAGUAGGGAAUUUCCACAAUGGGCGAAAGCCUGAUGGAGCAACGCCGCGUGCAGGAUGAAGGGCUUCGGUUCGUAAACUGCUUUUUAUAUGUGACGAUUAUGACGGUAGCAUAUGAAUAAGGAUCGGCUAAUUCCGUGCCAGCAGCCGC